UCGGAAUUACUGGGCGUAAAGGGCGCGUAGGCGGACUAUUAAGUUGGAUGUGAAAUCCCCGGGCUUAACCUGGGAACUGCAUCCAAGACUGGUAGACUAGAGUACAGUAGAGGUGGGUGGAAUUCCCGGUGUAGCGGUGAAAUGCGUAGAGAUCGGGAGGAACAUCAGUGGCGAAGGCGACUCACUGGAUUGAUACUGACGCUGAGGCGCGAAGGCGUGGGGAGCAAACAGGAUUAGAGACCCUGGUAGUCCACGCGGUAAACGAUGAGAACUAGCUGUUGGAGUGGGAAGACACUUGAGUGGCGAAGCUAACGCGUGAAGUUCUCCGCCUGGGGAGUACGGUCGCAAGAUUAAAACUCAAAGGAAUUGACGGGGGCCCGCACAAGCGGUGGAGCAUGUGGUUUAAUUCGAUGCAACGCGAAGAACCUUACCUAUCCUUGACAUCCUUCGAAUCUCUUGUAAUGAGAGAGUGCCUUCGGGAACGAAGUGACAGGUGCUGCAUGGCU
rnacentral:rRNA from 1 species